rnacentral:lncRNA from 1 species
GUUACAGUUUUAUUUAUAUUUAUUUUAUUAUUCUUUUUAAAUUUCUUAUACUUAAAUUUUAAUUUUAAUUAAUACAAAAAAAAUUUUCUUGCACUUUAAAUUUCUGUCUUUUAUUUUUUGCAAAUAGAUGCUAGGAUCUAGUUAGUAGAUCUUAGUAUCAAUUUAUUUUAUACUUUUUAAAUUUUUAUUAUUUAUUUUUAUUAUAAGUA